GUGAUGGGGAGCGAAAUUUAGUAGCGAAGUAGCUGAUUUCACACUGUCAAGAAAAGUCUCUAUCGAGGUUAAAGGUACCCGUACCGCAAACCGACACAGGUGGGUGAGGAGAGUAUCCUAAGGCCAGCGAGAGAACUGUUGUUAAGGAACUCGGCAAAAUGACCCCGUAACUUAGGGAUAAGGGGUGCCACCAUCAGGUGGCCGCAGAGAAUAGGCCCAAGCGACUGUUUACCAAAAACAUAGGUUUCUGCUAAGUCGCAAGACGAUGUAUAGGAGCUGACGCCUGCCCGGUGCUGGAAGGUUAAGGGGAUCUGUUAGAGCAAUCGAAGCAGUGAACUUAAGCCCCAGUAAACGGCGGCCGUAACUAUAACGGUCCUAAGGUAGCGAAAUUCCUUGUCGGGUAAGUUCCGACCCGCACGAAAGGCGUAACGAUUUGGGCACUGUCUCAACAACAGACUCGGUGAAAUUGUAAUUCCGGUGAAGAUGCCGGAUACCUGCGACAGGACGGAAAGACCCCAUGGAGCUUUACUGUAGCUUGACAUUGGGUCUUGGUACUACAUGUACAGGAUAGGUGGGAGGCUUUGAAACCAGGACGCCAGUUUUGGCGGAGCCAUCCUUGGGAUACCACCCUUGUAGUACUGGGACUCUAACCAUAGGCCAUGAAUCUGGUCUUGGGACACUGUCAGGUGGGCAGUUUGACUGGGGCGGUCGCCUCCCAAAAGGUAACGGAGGCGCUCAAAGGUUCUCUCAGUACGGUCGGAAAUCGUACGUAGAGUGUAAAGGCAAAAGAGAGCUUGAUUGCAAGACAUACAGGUCGAGCAAGGAUGAAAAUCGGACUUAGUGAUCCGGUGGUUCUGCGUGGAAGGGCCAUCGCUCAACGGAUAAAAGCUACCCUGGGGAUAACAGGCUUAUCUCCCCCAAGAGUCCACAUCGACGGGGAGGUUUGGCACCUCGAUGUCGGCUCAUCACAUCCUGGGGCUGUAGUAGGUCCCAAGGGUUGGGCUGUUCGCCCAUUAAAGUGGUACGCGAGCUGGGUUCAGAACGUCGUGAGACAGUUCGGUCCCUAUCCGUCGCAGGCGUAGGAAAUUUGAGAAGACCUGUCCUUAGUACGAGAGGACCGGGAUGGACGUACCUCUGGUGUACCAGUUGUCCUGCCAAGGGCAUGGCUGGGUAGCUAUGUACGGAAUGGAUAAGCGCUGAAAGCAUCUAAGCGCGAAGCCAACUUCAAGAUAAGAUUUCCCACCGCAAGGGUAAGACCCCAGAAAGACUAUCUGGUUGAUAGGUCGAAGGUGUAAGUGCAGCAAUGUAUUUAGCUUAUCGAUACUAAUAGGUCGAGGACUUGACC
rnacentral:rRNA from 1 species